rnacentral:rRNA from 15 species
CACAAGGGGAGCCCAAAGCGGUUGCAAAAAAUCGGUGGCUGCGACUGUUUAAUAAAAACACAGCACUCUGCAAACACGAAAGUGGACGUAUAGGGUGUGACGCCUGCCCGGUGCUGGAAGAUUAAAUGAUGGGGUGCAAGCUCUUGAUUGAAGUCCCAGUAAACGGCGGCCGUAACAAUAACGGUCCUAAGGUAGCGAAAUUCCUUGUCGGGUAAGUUCCGACCUGCACGAAUGGCGUAACGACUUCCCCGCUGUCUCAACCGCGAACUCGGCGAAAUUGCACUACGAGUAAAGAUGCUCGUUACGCGCAGCAGGACGGAAAGACCCCGGGACCUUCACUAUAGCUUGGUAUUGGUGUUCGGGACGGCUUGUGUAGGAUAGGUGGGAGACUGUGAAGCGGUCACGCUAGUGAUGGUGGAGUCAACGUUGAAAUACCACUCUGGUCGUUCUGGAUGUCUAACUUCGGUCCGUGAUCCGGAUCAGGGACAGUGCCUGGUGGGUAGUUUAACUGGGGCGGUUGCCUCCUAAAGAGUAACGGAGGCGCCCAAAGGUUCCCUCAGCCUGGUUGGCAAUCAGGUGUUGAGUGUAAGUGCACAAGGGAGCUUGACUGUGAGACAGACAUGUCGAGCAGGGACGAAAGUCGGGACUAGUGAUCCGGCAGUGGCUUGUGGAAGCGCUGUCGCUCAACGGAUAAAAGGUACCCCGGGGAUAACAGGCUGAUCUUGCCCAAGAGUCCAUAUCGACGGCAUGGUUUGGCACCUCGAUGUCGGCUCGUCGCAUCCUGGGGCUGGAGUAGGUCCCAAGGGUUGGGCUGUUCGCCCAUUAAAGCGGUACGCGAGCUGGGUUUAGAACGUCGUGAGACAGUUCGGUCCCUAUCCGCUGCGCGCGCAGGAAGUUUGAGAGGAUCUGACCCUAGUACGAGAGGACCGGGUUGAACGUACCUCUGGUGUACCUGUCGUCGUGCCAACGGCGCAGCAGGGUAGCUAUGUACGGACGGGAUAACCGCUGAAAGCAUCUAAGCGGGAAGCCUACCUCAAGAUAAGAUUUCCCAAGGACUUUAUGUCCUCUAAAGAGCCGUUGAAGA